AGGAAGCGGCGCGCGCAGCCGGCGGCGGGAGCCCGGGACCCCGGGCGCAGGUGCACUGGUGCCACUGAAGUGGCACGCAAAGUCAAAGGCGUGGCCCUUUGAGCCCCUCACCAAAAAAUUGCCUAGAUUCCAAAGAGCCUUGGAGGCUAGGUCUUGGCGGAAACAUCUAAACACUGAGCAGUUUGACCUUGGGGCUGUAGGUUUAAAAAGGCCAUGGCUGUUCCUGGACUGGGGUGCAGAGGCAGAAUCCAAGAAAGAGCUUGGUCCUUGCCAAAGAUAUAGUGCCUCAGUUCGGAUCCAGCGCACUGUCGGGGAAAGCCCUGCUGGUUAGAAAUUAAAAUCUGGAGUCCCAGCGACAAUGCCGAUCGCCAACAUUUGAAAGACUCAGCAUCAGAGGCAAUACCCAUGGAGAGACACGGAGGGAAUGUCCUUCCCUCUGGAGGUGAAAGGCUGAGGGGUAAGGAUUGGGAGUGGUCCUGGAACACAUGAAGGGAGGAAGGGUCCCAGAGAGGUGGCCUUGAUCGCCGGAAGUGGAAGUUAGAGGGGCAAACGAGGUACAGGAAGUGGGAAGAUGGCUCCUGGGACUCAGGAUCAGGCCUGAGCGCUUCAGAGAGCUUCGGAGAAGGCAGGGAGA
ensembl:processed_transcript Gm11529 predicted gene 11529